rnacentral:tRNA from 1 species
ACCUGGCUGGCUCAGUUGGUAGAGUAUGAGACUCUUGAUCUUGGGGUCAUGAGUUCAAGCCCCAUAUUGGGCC